rnacentral:rRNA from 1 species
ACCUGCCUGACUCCUCGUAUGCGGCUCGGACCGUCGAGGGAGAAGCUUGUUUCUCCGCUGACGACCGGCGGAUGGGUGAUUAUUGUAUGGGGAUCUGCCUGACGGCGGGGGACUCUACUGAAAACGGUAACUCAUACCGAAUAAUGUCUACGGACCAAAGCGGGGGACCUUCGGGCCUAGCCCCAUCCAAUGAACCCAUAUGGGAUUAGCUUGUAGGUGAGGUAAUGGCUCACCUAGGCGACGAUCCCUAGCUGUUCUGAGAGGAUGAUCCCCCCCACUGGGACUGACCCACGGCCAACACUACUACGGGAGGCAGCAGUGGGGAAUAUUGCACAAUGGGCGCAAGCCUGAUGCAGCCAUGCCGCGUGUAUGAAGAAGGCCUUCGGGUUGUAAAGUACUUUCAGUCGGGAGGAAGGUGGUGAGCUUAAUACGCUCAUCAAUUGACGUUACCGACAGAAGAAGCACCGGCUAACUCCGUGCCAGCAGCCGCGGUAAUACGGAGGGUGCAAGCGUUAAUCGGAAUUACUGGGCGUAAAGCGCACGCAGGCGGUUGAUUGAGUCAGAUGUGAAAUCCCCGGGCUUAACCCGGGAAUUGCAUCUGAUACUGGUCAGCUAGAGUCUUGUAGAGGGGGGUAGAAUUCCAUGUGUAGCGGUGAAAUGCGUAGAGAUGUGGAGGAAUACCGGUGGCGAAGGCGGCCCCCUGGACAAAGACUGACGCUCAGGUGCGAAAGCGUGGGGAGCAAACAGGAUUAUAUACCCUGGUAGUCCACGCUGUAAAACGAUGUCGACUUGGGAGGUUUGUG